CUGAGAGCCACAAACAGAGCUUGACCCACACAUUUAUUGACAGAAAGCCAGUGAUAAGCAUUGCUUCUAUAGAUUGUAGAUUAGCUAAAAGCAAUCUUUAUGGGAAACAAAGCAAUCUCAGCGAGGAGCAGAGAAACAGGCUCUGGCUGAUUAUCUGCAGCAAAAACAUGCUGCCAAGGCACAGGCCUUUCCUGCUAUCGUUUGUGGUUUGAGCAGUUUUUUGCUCCGGGCGGGGCCAGGUGUUCCUUGCCCUGCUCUAGUAAACCAACAACUUUUAGCAGUGUGCAUGACAGCCAUCAUGAGCAUGUCCCAUUGCUGCAGAAAUCCUGUUUAUGGCCAGUUUAUUUAAGGCCUGUUUAUGACAGGGUUAGGGCUUGCUACCAACAACAUGGCAAAACCCUAUCUCUACCAAAAAAAAAGGGGGAUAUUCUUUGAAAGAUACGUAUUAUUAACACUGACACAAAAAGAAGUACAAAAUCUGAAGGGCCAUAUAUUUUUAUGUAAAUUGAGUUUUCACUUAAAAGUUCCACAAAGAAAACAUCUAACUAAGAUGGUUUCACUGGUGAAUUCAAUCAAAUAUUUAAGGAACACAUAAUACCAAAACCAUAACACAUACAUGCAAAACAUUUAACAAAAUUCAAGACAAACCUACACAUUCUUUUUAAAUAUUCCUCCCCACCUCCAGCAAGAAAUGAAAGGGAAAUUUCUUAGCCCGAUGGAGGGCGUAUUCACACACACACUCUUAGUGAUAAAAUGCUGUCCGCUAAGAUCAGGAACAAGGCAAGGAUUAUUGCUCUCCCUGCUUCUAUUCAACACUAUACUAGACAUUCUAGCCAUUGCAGAAAGGCAAGAAAAUGAAAUAAAAUGCUUACAGAUUGAAGAGAAGAAAACUGUCUUUGUUUUUAUAGAUGACAUGACAUGAUGGAUAGAAACCCUACAUAUCCUACUAAUACAAAAUACUACCAUAACUAGUAAGUGAAUUUAAUAAAGUUGCAAGACACAAAAUCAAACAAAAAUUGAUUCUUAUGGCUGGGCGUGGUGGCUCACGCCUGUUAAUUCCAGCACUUUGGGAGGCUGAGGCGGGUGGAUCACAAGGUUGGGGGAUUGAGACCAUCCUGGCCAACAUGGUGAAAUCCCGUCUCUACUAAAAAUACAAAAAUUAGCUGGGCAUGGUUGGGGGUGCCUGUAAUCCCAGUUACUCGGGAGGCUAAGGCAGGAGAAUUGCUUGAACCCAGGAGGCAGAGAUUGCAGUGAGCCGAGAUGGUGCCACUGCAUUCCAGCCUGGCGACAGAGCAAGACUCCAUCUAAAAAAAAAAUGAUUUUUAUAUGUUAGCAACAAAUAAUUCCAUAUACCAUAAACUAUCUCUACAUGCUAGCAAAAACAAUUGAAAAAAUGAAACACUUUUCCAACAGCAUCAAAACAAUUAAAUGUGUACAAACGGCAAAUAAGAACAUGAAAAGUGCUUAACAUCACUAGUCAUUAGGAAAACACAAAUAAAAACCACAAUGAAAUUUCACUUCACAUCCAUAACGAUGGCUAUUAUAUAUAUAUAUAUAUAUAUAUAUAAAGAAAAAUAACAAGUGUUGACAAGGAUGUAGAGAAACUAGAUCCCUGUGCAUUACUGCUGGGGAAUGUAAAAUGGUGCAGCUACUGUGGAAAACUGUGGUGGGUCCUCAAAAAGUUAAACAGAAUUACUAUAUGAUUCAGCAAUUCCACUUCUAGGUAUAUACCCAAAAAAUUGAAAGCACGGACUCAGAUAUUUGUACAUCAAUGUUCAUAGCAGCAUUAUUUACAAUCACCAAAAGGUGAAAACAACUUAAAUGUCCACUGAUGGAUGAAUGGAUAAACAGGAUGUGGUAUAUAAACACAGCGGAAUAUUAUUCAGCCUUGCUACAAUGUGAAUGAACCUUUAAAUUUAAAACAUUAAAAUAUUAACUAUUUUACACAUGCAAAAUUUAAUAAAAUAUCACACGAAGUGGAAUAAGCCAGAAACAAGAGGAAACAUGUAUGAUACCACUUAUAUGAAAAACCUAGAAUAGGCAAAUCCAUAGAGACAGAAAGGAUAGCGGUUAUCAAGGGCUGGGGAGAGAAAAAUAGGAGUUAUUGUUUAGUGAGUAGAGUUUCAGUCUAGAAUGAUAAAAAGGUUUUGGAAAUGUGUGGUGGUGAUGGUAGCAUAAUAUUGGUAAUAUACCUAAUGCUACUGAAUUUGAUCUUAAUAUGUUCACAAUGAAUAAUUCAACAUACCAUGGAAUAUUCCUAAAUGCUAGCAAAAACAAUUGAAAAAAUGAACACUUUUCCAUGGUUAAAAUGAUAAAUGUCAUACAUUUUAUUACAAAACAUGGUUAAAGUGAUAAAUGUCACACAUUUUAUCACAAAACAUUUUUGAAAUAUCAAAUAAUUUAACAAAAUAUGUGUAAGACAUACACUAAAAACUAUAAAACUUUGUUAAGUGGAAUAAAAAGAACUAAGUAGAGAACUGUCCUUUGUUUAUGGAAUUUACCCAUCAUUGGUACAUAGAGAUCUUCCUCAUUCUUUUUUAUUGUGUGGAUGCAUUAUAAUCUAUUCAAUCUGUCGUAUAUUAAUGUAUAUGUGCCUUUUCCCAAGUACUUCGCUGUUAUCAAUAAUUUCACAAUAACCUUAUACAUAUGUUGUCUUGUAUGUUGGAAUUGUGUCUUUGUGCAGAUUCCUAUUGGAAUGGUUAAGUCAUACUCAUAUUUAGUUUUGUUGAUGUUGCCCAAUUUCCCCCUUUAGGAGUUUCACAAAAUUGCACUCCUACCAGAAAUGUAUACGAAUGCCUAUUUCUCCACAGCCAUGGUAACACAGAAUUUUAUCAAACUCUUUGAUUUUUGUCAGUAAGCAUUUUAAAAUAUGCUUAAAGUGUACUUGCGUUUUUUUCUGAUACAUAGAUACAUACAUACAUAUAUAUAUAUCUUUUUUUUUUUUUUUUUUUGAGACAGAGUCUUGCUCUGUCACCCAGGCUGGAGUACAGUGCUGCCAUCUCAGCUUACUGCAACUUCCACUUCCCAGGUUCAAGUGAUUCUCCUGUCUCAGCCUCCUGAGUAGCUGGGAUUACAGGCGUCUGCUACCACGCCUGCCUAAUUUUUUUUGUAUUAUUAGUAGAGACGGGGUUUCACCAUGUUGGCCAGGCUGAUCUUGAACUCCUGACCUCAGGUGAUCCACCCACCUCGGUUUCCUAAAGUUCUAGGAUUACAGACAUGAGACACCACGCCCGGCCUGAUAUAUAUACUUUUUUUUUUUUUUUUUUGAGAUGAAGUCUCACUCUGUUACCCAAGCUGGAGUGCAGUGGCGAGAUCUCAGCUCGCUGCAACCUCAACCUCCCGGGUUCAAGCGAUUCUCCUGCCUCAGCCUCCCAAGUAGCUGGGACUACAGGCAUGCACCACCAUGCCCAGCUAAUUUUUGUAUUUUUAGUAGAGAUGGGGUUUCACCAUUUUGACCAGGCUGGUCUUGAACUCCUGACUUCAUGAUCCGCCCGCCUUGGCCUCUCAAAGUGCUGCGAUUACAGGCAUGAGCUACUAUGCCUGGGCUAGAAACUGUCUUUUGAGCAACUAUGCCUGCUUGUUGCCCAUAGAAAGUUGGGGGUCCAGGGUCUUUUAACAUUUAGUCCCUUUUAAUCCAGGUUAAUGCCAUUAGUAUAGCUUCCUAAAAUGUACUGUGGGUUUUAUGUGUCUGAUUGGAGUCUACUCUAUGUACCAAAAGCCUCACUCACAAUUAUUUUUGAGAUAGCUCCCAAUGAGUUUAAUCACUGCUAUGCCAGGUGUGUGAGGCUGCUGUGGGACAACAAUCUUGAUUCCUAGAAGAGUCAUAAAUUUCUAGGGACUACAGGCUCCUGCCACCAUGCCUGGCUAAUUUUUGUAGAGAUGGGGUUUCACCAUGUUGCCCAAGCUGGUCUCGAACUUCUGAGCUCAAGCGAUCCACCUGCCUCAGCCUCCCAAAGUGCUGGGAUUACAGGUGUGGGCCAUCACGCUUGCCCUAGAGUAAUAUUCUCUAUUAUCAAGGUAGAAAGUUCAACAUAUAUUCAUUAGAUCUACUUUAUAGAUACUGUUACUCAGAUCACUUAUAUCGUUAUAUGUAUUUUUUGUCUCCUUAACUUCAGUCUUGGAUGAGAGAGAGGUGUUUUAAAUUUCUCUGUUAUUUCUAGGUUUCUAUUCAUUUUUCCUUGCAUAAUUUGUUAUGCAAAUGUUAUGUGCUUUGACAAGGCAGAAGUAACACAACGGAAACAAUGAAAAAGGAGGGAGAGAGAAAGAGGAAAGUAGAAAGAGCUCUUUGUUGUACAGGGGAUAGGCAGGAGCCAAAGAAUAUCACUUAAAGUUGACAAACCAGAUAACUGAAGCUCUAACACUCAUAAAUAGUAUAUCCUCCUUGUGAAUUGUGGCUUUUAGCAUUUUAAUGUAUCCUUCAUUGUCUUGUCUAUUUUUUCCUGAAUUCUACCUUUUCAGAUAUGGAUACUGUAAUCUUUGCCUUUUGUGGUCCUACUUGUCUGGUCUAUUUUUGCCCAUCUCUUUUUUUUUAGCCUCUCCUGAAUCACUUACUUUAGAUGUGUCUCUUAUAAAUAACAGACAAUAAGACAUUGGUUUGUAAGCCAAUCUGAUAUUCCUUUUAAUAGGUAAGUCCUUUCACAUGUACUGAUUUAACUUAUAUGCUUGGACUUAAUAUAUUUACUGUAUGAUGGUACAUUUACUGCAUGUUUUUCACUGUAAUCUUUAUUAUUGCUUCUUUGAGCAUUGAUGAUUUACAUUUUUAUUCUAGUAAUUAUACUAUGUAUUCUAUACUAUUAAUAGUAUAGUACACCUUUAAUGCUCUAAAUCUCCCUUUUUCCUUACUUACACUUCAUAUACUUGGUUUGUCAACUUUAAAUAAUACUAUUUGACUUCUACAUAUUGCCUAAGCAACAAGGAGUUCUUUGUAUUUUCCUCUUCCUCUCUCCCUUCUUUUUUGUUUUGUUACUUCUGUCUUGUCAAAGCAUAUAUAGUUUGAUACUAUUUCAUGUGAUUAGGCUUUCUGUCCCCACCCAAAUCUCAUCUUGAAUUGUAAUCCCCAGGUGUUGAGGGCGAGACCUGGUGAGAGGUGACUGGAUCAUGGGGGUGGUUUCCCCCAAGCUGUUCUCAUGAUAGAGAGUUCUCACGAGAUCUGAUGGUUUUAUAAGACAGUUUUCCCUGCUUGCUCUCUUGUGCGUCCAUGCUCUCUCUUUCUUGCCACCAUGUGAAGAAGGUCCUUUCUUCCCCUUCACCUCCUGCCACGAUUGUAGGUUUCCUGAGGCCUCCCCAGCCAUGUGGAACUGUGAGUCAAUUAAACCUCUUUUCUUUAUAAAUUACCCAGUCUUGGGUACUAUCUUUAUUAUUUUUUUGAGACAGAGUCUCACUGUUGCCCAGGCUGGAGUGAAGUGGCACAAUCUCGGCUCACUGCAAUCUCUGCCCCCGGGUUCAAGCAAUUCUCGUGCCUCAGCCUCCCAAGUAGCUGGGAUUACAGGCGUGCACCACCAUACCCAGCUAAUUUUUGUAUUUUUAGUAAAGACGGGGUUUCACCAUGUUGGCCAGUCUGGUCUCGAGCUCCUGACCUCAGGUGAUCUUCCUGCCUCAGCCUCCCAAAGUGCUGGGAUUACAGACAUGAGCCACCAUUCC
rnacentral:lncRNA from 10 species